ensembl:lncRNA
CCUGACCAAAAUGUCCAUUCACCACCAGUGCUGUGGAGACCACCAGUUUGACCAGCGAAGCCACUGCUGUUGCUUCGAUUCUGAACCACUCUCUCCAGAGCCUCUCAAUGCAAGCUGCUGUGCAUCAUCAGGGUCUAAUCACUUGGGAAUUGCUCCGACUUCUCCAAAAUGUAUGUCCGGGAAUCAGCCCUGUGGUCUAGGUGCCUGUUUCAACCCAACAACAGAACGUUGCUGUGUGAACCCUACAUCUCUCCAGGGACAAAGUUACUCCUACGACCAGACCUGCUGUGAGGGAACACUACGCCACACCCCAUAUCUCUACAAUGGUGCUAGCUGUGGCUCUCAGGUUUACAAUCCAGACAGUAAAAUCUGCUGUGCCGGGAAGCUGUCCAAUAGGGUGCUUGGAAAAAACCUG